rnacentral:piRNA from 1 species
UGAAAUGUAUAAAGUCCUUAACCCCGUAGU